rnacentral:lncRNA from 1 species
AUUUAUUACACAUGGCAGCUUCAGAUUUUUUAGGCAUGCAUAAUAUUAUAUUUCUUCUUCUUCCUCCAAACAGAUAAAACUUUUGGUUGAUUUAAUACACAAUUUCUGUGAUGCUGUAUUCUAGAGGAUGGCUGAAAGAUAAUUAUUAACCAUUUGCUUCUCUUUGAAAGAGAUUAAUAAUUGAUUCUUACUAAGAAUUCAGUUUCUCCUUUAAUGACAGUUUUUUGUGGAUUUGUUUUUUCAGACAUAGUUUAUCGCUUAUCAAGAGAUUAAGAGCAAAACACAUACUACAAAAUGCAAGAUUCUUGUAUUUCAAACCAGCUGAUAUUCAGGAUGGUCCAGAAGAGAAUGAGAAGAAGGGAGACCAGCUUGGGAGAUAUGGUCAUUGGAACAGCAGAAGAGUGCACUUGAGUUUAGGAAUACCUACAACAGAUUUUUAGAAUUCCUCAGCCUAUGAAAAUGCAUGCACCUUUUUUUGAAAGGGAAAAAUUUUCAGCACAUAUAAGGAGUAUGGACAGUCCAAUAGUUCCUGUAUUUUCAAUGUGAAGCCAGGUGAGUAUAACCUGGCUUCUGUCCCUUAAUUCUGCAAAUGGUUUUACGGAAGAGGUUUCAACGUAUUUAUUCAGUGUUAUCAACACAUCACAGAUUUAAUAAUCAGUAUUCCCUACUGUAUUCCCUUCUGGCUUAAAUUAGGAAGUAAGAAGGCAUUCAGAAAGGCUCUCCUUGCUUUCCUCAGAUCUUUCAGCAACGUGCUGUUUGCCUGUAGUUGCAGUCUGACACCUCUGGAUUAGGUGAGAAUUUGGCACAUUCCUUAAGAAAACUCACCUAAGAAAGCUGUUGCUCAGGAAAACACCACCUCCUUGGCCUCUUGGUGUAGUGCAGAUCCUGUCUGUAAAGGGAGCAGCAAUUUUUUCUCCCAUUUCCUCGCCUGCUGAUUGUGAGAUCCAGGAGACAAACUCUCUGCCUCCUGUGACAGCCCUUCUUAAUCAACUGUGUUUUCUGUGAAGGUCUCUAGGGAGCUUAAUGUGUUCCACAGCCUAUAUCAGGUCCCCUGUUUCC